GACAAUCCUGAAAAAAUAAAAAUAAAAAAGAAAGAGAAAAAGAAAGAAAGAAAAUUGUGUGAAUACAUAUAAAUCGAAUACUGAGCAAGAUUCAUUCCUCAAGAUCUCUCUUUGAUUCUGUUCUCUUCUAUUCUAUUCU
rnacentral:ribozyme from 1 species